GCCAAAAUAUUGAUGGAAAGAACUCAAAACGGUUAGAUUUUGAACAGAAGAGGGUCUUUUCCAGUUUCCAAACUCCAAAUUCGUACAAAAGUUAAAUUCUGCUUAUUUUUUGACUGGAUAGGCACAAAGAUUGCUCAUUUCUAGGGGUGUAACGAUACCCUCAUGUCACGAUUCGUUACAUAUCACGAUACUGAACUCACGGUACUCGAUAUUCCAAAACAUUUGGUAAAAGGUUAAAAAAAAUGUACUGUUGAUUAAAAUACUAAAUUUGGUAUUACAUUGGGAGAGGGAAUGAAUAAGCUUGGACUUGGUGCUGGUAACACAAUGCACAGGACAAUGGUGACUGUAGCAUAAAAAUAUUAAUGAUUCUGAAGCUGAAAAUAUAGAAAUAUUUUAGACAAAUAUGCUUGCAGUCUGUCACUAACUAGAUAUAUUUAAAGUAAUGUAGGCAACUUUUUACUGCUAAUACCAAAUGUCUUGUGUUACGAGGACCCACAAAUAUUUCCCCAUUGUAUUAUUAUACAUUAUAUUUAACAUUUAUAUAUAGGCUAAUUUUCAUUUUGAGUGAACUAUACACAAUAAGUAUUGUCACCAUCCAUAAUACGUAUUGUUGCAUUUUUGAAUUGCGAUAUAUUGUUACACCCCUUCUUAUUUCGUAUAACAGUGUUGGGCUUGGAAAGUCUCACUCUCCUGUUCUUUCUAGCGUUGCUUGACAACAUGCAGUCAUAUGGUGCAUUCAAGUCAUGUCGGAAAGAUCGUAUUUAUGAGUUGAAUGCACAUGAAUGCCACCACAAUGUCAUCAAUUGGAGUGGGAAGCUCAGGGUUUUCUCGAUAUUUAUGAGUUGGAGGCGUGUCAGUGAGAAAGAUGGUGGAAUACCACAAAAUUUUAAGGUAUUUAGCAGUCAAGCUUUUCUAUUUACAAUGAAGUAAGCUUUUUGCCUGCACAAAUUAUUUUAGCAUUGUAAUCUAACAAUAUAAUAUUUAACAAUUAAAUUUACAGUGGCUUCAAAAAUUAAUUAAAAACAUAAAGCAAAACAUAACUAAUGCACAUUCUUUUUUUCUUCAUUUUCUACAAGUAUAGAGUUAAAAACGUUGCUGCAUUUUUGUGUAGUUAAUUAAGAGAAUGUACACCACCAUCUUACUCCGACGAAAGUGACUUUGCAUGGGAACUUUUUUUUUUUUUUUUGGUUUCUAUCACCACCUUGAAGCUUGACCUUGGCUGUGUCCAAAAUCACCCCCUAUACCCAUAAAUAGGGCACUAUUUGAGGGGUCAGCUAUUUGUAGUGGUGUUCGAAACCAUUGUGGAUGUUAUCGAGUGCACUCAUUCAAUCCCACAAUGCACUGUAAUAGUGUACAGUCAGUGUACACUCAACUGCUAGAGAAUACCCAUAACUGUGAGAUGGGUAACUGUGAGAUGGGAUCCACACUGUGAGAGUCGUGCAGUGAAUGAAUUCCCAUGUCUCGACGAUGGUGCCCACAGCUGAAUCAUCCAUCCAUCCAUUUACCAAACCGCUGGUCCAACCUGGCUACAUCGUAAUAUACAGUGAACUAUAUUAGUGGACUAAUGUAACUGACGUCGAGUACGUUUAUGAUGGAUGGAGGCACUUUCUUGAGCUUCAUACUCGUUGAUCCUGUUCACUGCCAUUAUAAAGCUUGGACGCAUCAGGAUAUUAAUGUAACUCAGAUUGUGUUCAUCAGAAAGAAGAGUCAAAUACACCUAGGAUGGCUUGAGGCGUUCCGGUUGAGAUUAGCACUCAGUGGCAGCAGGAAUCUGUUCCAUACUCCCCCAGCAGUGAGCUCGACUCCAGCUCAGCGAAACAGGAGAGUCCUGUGAGCAGCCACAGUUGGGUGAAACAGGAACCAGAGCCUGAAGUAAUCCAGCAGGAAAACAUGAAUUCAGAGGCCGCCACUGAUGCUGAGCAGGACAAAUCUCUGAGCAGUGCUGUUGCUACAGCGGAACCUCCGAUGGAGGGUUUACCCAGCAGUGUUAUGCUGACCAUCACCAAACUUCAGUGCUUACUGGAGAGCAAACAGGAGAGGAUUGAUGCACUAGAGAGGCAGGUGCAAGACCUACAAGAGGAUCGCAAGUUCCUCCGCUCUCAGAUCGAAAACCUCACUGGAGCUCGCUUGGUUUCAGUGCCUGAAGUUCCUAAAGCGAGCACAUCCAUGUUCUCAGAGCCCAGGUCACGUAAAAGGCGGCGUAAGAGCUCGUCCAGCUCAUCUGCCAAUGAUGAGAGCUUCACUGAUGAAUCCAGCAGCACUUCUUCAUCUGAAGAGUCCAGCAGCGUCAGGAAAAAGAGACGCCACAAGAAAAAAGGGAAGAGAGGGUGUGUUUCCCAGCGUGACUAGGUCUUGAUCUGCCUUCAUCAAGAAGAAAAGCAUGAGUAGGGCUUUCCGUCCAAGUCUGUCACUAAGGUUCACAGGGCCCGGGACAAUUUUUAUGAGUGAGCCUCCAUGUGCCCAGGAGUACAGUAGGCUAUACUGUAAAGGACCUUCUUUGGGCCCUCCAUCUUAUGGCCUGGUUGACCCUCCCUGACAGUGUCCACAACACGGCCCUCAUCGCAGAACUGCACUUGGUUGCUAACAAGUCUGUUUCUCUGGUGGGUCAGGCCUUGUGAGAAAACGUCCUCAGCUGUGCCCAGCAGUGUGUCGUCUCUGCAGAGCUGUUCAGUUUGUAAUUCUACAACCCGGAAAAGACUCAAGAUUUCUGAGCCUUGAUCUAGUUGGUUGGUGGUUCAUGAGUUUAUAUGAGUUUUCUUUUUUGCUUUAAAAAUGCAAGUUGCUAUUAAGGACUACAAUGAUUUGUCAUACAUAAUUCUUCUAACAUGUAUACAAAGAUUUCAGAUUUCAUUUGAAAACUGCUACUCUGAAAACCAUUAGGAGAACCUUAAGACUAUGGUGAGCUAGUCUUCCCGGUUGGCCUACGAUAUCACAACUGAACUGCUGUUUUAUGAUGAUGGAUCCCUCGCAAGAAGGAUGGAGCAGGUGAAAGCUUCUGAGAACUGCUACCUAGUACUGCUAAACAAACAUUCUACAUGCACACUAGAGGGCGCUCUGAGACUACUGCGAAGUGAAAAUGAGAGGCGCUGGGCCCUGGAAGGAAAUAAAAAAUAGUGGGUGACAUUAAAACAUGUGUUAUGCAUAUGAUGAUAUCUCACACGUUUUAUCAUACGAGUUACUGUGCGUACGUCUCUUAGAAGUUUUAAGUAGUUUGUGUAAUAAAUGCACAGAUCUCUUAAAACUGUGCUUUUUUUAUCUUAAGUUGCACAUAUUGUUGCAUACAGUAGCUGAGUGAAAUAGAUCGUCCAGUCCAGUCAUGUAUGUUUUUGUUUUUGUAUUCUUCACAUAAACUCUACCAAGGUUUUAUUCUCACACAGUUCCAUCACGUUCCUUUAUGUCAGGGUAAUUUAAAUCUGGCCCUUGAGGUCCACUGUCCUGCGAGAGUUUAGCUUCAACCCUAAUCAAACACACCUGAACAAGGUCUUCAGGAUUAUUAGAAAAUCGCAGGCUUGUGAGUCGGAUCAGGUUUGGAGCUGAACUCUGCAGGACAGGGGCCCUCAAAAGCCAGAGUUGAAGAACACUACUUGUGAUUUGUUUUGUUUAAAAUGUUUUUUCAUUCUAUGGUUUUAAAAUGUCUGCAGAGUUGUUUAACAAUUAAAGGUGCUGCAAGUGAUUUUAACCAUUGUGCUGUAUUAAACCAGGGAUCAUAUUCCAACAAUUUUGAUGCCAUGGACCUUUAAAUAUGUUAUCUUUGCAAGGGACACCUUUACUAAUAACAAUUCUAUAUAUAUUCAUAUAUAUGUUUUAAAGAACCAUUUAUAUAGUAAAAAAAAAAAAAAAAAAAAAAAUAAUGCUAGUAAUGUGUAUAAUAUUAUCUGGGAAAUAUUUAAAUAUAAAUAAACAUGAAGAGAAACAAAGUAACUGUCAAUCUUAUGAUACCAGACCAGUUUUUAGAAAACAGAAUAAAGCGGCCAUGUCAAAUACUGUACAUUUAAUUAUAUCUAUUAAAUUAUAAUUAACUUGGCAACACUUUACAAUAAGGUUUGUAUGUAUGUAUAUGUGUGUAUAUUUAUUUAUUUAUUUAUUUAUUUACUUACAUUUUUCUCAGAACUUUUUCACAGACCCCAUAGCAUCCCCUUAAGGCCCUUGGGGGAUCCCUGGAUAUCAAAUAUCAGAUACUAAAUCUUGCUCAUCAGAAAUAUUGCUCAUCCUAGUGUUCACGGUUAUACUGACACCGAUUUUCAGCACAUUAUGACCCUCGAACAGUUCGGUUUGACAUUGUGGGAAGGGAUGUCUGACUCAUUUCUGCGAAUCGGUUCUUAUGAACGAUUCGUUUUAAAGAACCGGAGAUUCUUUUUACGUAAUUACGUCAUUACGCUAUAGAUGCUCCAAAACAUGUAGGAAGAAACUGCUGUUAUGGUCUGAAUAUUUUAAUAUUUGACUUAGUAUAACCUAUGAUGCAAUUUUCCUUUGUCCCAGUUUGUUUCAGCCACGAUUAAGCUCGAAAACAGUAAUUUAGAACCUAAAUACAUUUUGGAUUUGCAUUAAAUAAUACGGGAAUUCAUUUACAUCUCUUGGCUUUUUUCUUUUCUUUUCAUGUUUUAAUAAAAUGCUAUAAACAUGUAAGUAUUAUUUGUAAUCUACGAUUCAGUUAUUAAAUAUAACUUAUUUUCCACCUAAUCAGGCAGUAAGUUUGAACAGGUCAAAUCCCCAAAUCACUGCUUACGGUCCUUACGGUUCUUGUUCAGAUGAGUCAGUUGAGCGGUUGACUCGAGAUCCGCGCGGACGGACUGAUUCAGAGUCCAAUUCGCGAACGAAGCGAACAGUCCUGUUUUGUGAACCGGUUCAACUAAUUCUUUGAAAGGAUCCAGCAAAACAAUCCUUCACGAAUGAGUCAUCCUCCCUUAAUUUUUAGCUAUUUGAUAUGAUUCUCUGAAUUAAAAAGCGUCUUGAUAUUUUGUUCUUGUUGUUGGACAGACCAUGUCUAGGUGGUGUAACCGUUGUUAAAUUAUGACUAGGAGAAAAUGUCUUAUCACAAGCUUGAAAUCCUUGGAAAAACAACGUAUGAAGCAGUUUGUUAUAUGUAUUAUUUCUAUCAAAACAAGUAGUGAAGCUGUUCUGUGUGGUGUAACCAGAGCCCCUCCCCUAUCGCUGGUGUAACCGACGACAUGUAGGAAGCUGUUCUGCUGUCAUGUGACCGUGAAACAGGAAAUGGUGUGACUGUGAAAGAGAGGAACCCUGCAAAUCCUCAUGGCAGUGAGUCAAGAAAAAUGUGGAAACUAAAAUGUCAAAUGGUGUAACCUGUUACCCCAUUUGACUCCCACUGAAAGUUCUAGCACACAAACUAUGGUGAUUUCAGAUGCUGAAAAUGUAGCCUAAAG